AAAAAGGUCCUUCUCAGGACCACAAAUGAUCCAUAGCCUUAUUGG
rfam:Columba livia unplaced genomic scaffold scaffold38, whole genome shotgun sequence.